rnacentral:rRNA from 1 species
AGCGAACGCUGGCGGCAGGCUUAACACAUGCAAGUCGAGCGGGCAUCCUUGUGGUGUCAGCGGCAGACGGGUGAGUAACGCGUGGGAACGUGCCCUUCGGUUCGGAAUAACUCAGGGAAACUUGAGCUAAUACCGGAUACGUGCGAGAGCAGAAAGGUUUAUCUGCCGAAGGAUCGGCCCGCGUCUGAUUAGCUAGUUGGUGAGGUUAUGGCUCACCAAGGCGACGAUCAGUAGCUGGUCUGAGAGGAUGAUCAGCCACACUGGGACUGAGACACGGCCCAGACUCCUACGGGAGGCAGCAGUGGGGAAUAUGGGACAAGGGGGGCAACCCUGAUCCAGCCAUGCCGCGUGAGUGAUGACGGCGUUAGGGUUGUAAAGCUCUUUUCUCCGGGACGAUAAGGACGGUACCGGAGGAAUAAGCCCCGGCUAACUUCGU